rnacentral:rRNA from 1 species
UGGGGAAUUUUGGACAAUGGGCGAAAGCCUGAUCCAGCAAUGCCGCGUGUGUGAAGAAGGCCUUCGGGUUGUAAAGCACUUUUGUCCGGAAAGAAAUCCUUGGCUCUAAUACAGUCGGGGGAUGACGGUACCGGAAGAAUAAGCACCGGCUAACUACGUGCCAGCAGCCGCGGUAAUACGUAGGGUGCAAGCGUUAAUCGGAAUUACUGGGCGUAAAGCGUGCGCAGGCGGUUUGCUAAGACCGAUGUGAAAUCCCCGGGCUCAACCUGGGAACUGCAUUGGUGACUGGCAGGCUAGAGUAUGGCAGAGGGGGGUAGAAUUCCACGUGUAGCAGUGAAAUGCGUAGAGAUGUGGAGGAAUACCGAUGGCGAAGGCAGCCCCCUGGGGCCAAAUACUGACGCUCAUGCACGAAAGCGUGGGGAGCAAACAGGAUUAGAUACCCUGGUAGUCCACGCCCUAAACGAUGUCAACUAGUUGUUGGGGAUUCAUUUCCUUAGUAACGUAGCUAACGCGUGAAGUUGACCGCCUGGGGAGUACGGUCGCAAGAUU